rnacentral:rRNA from 1 species
AGCGAACGCUGGCGGCACGCCUAACACAUGCAAGUCGCGCGGCGGGGUUCGCCCCGCAGCGGCGGACGGGGGAGGAGCGCGUAGGAACGUGUCCCGAGGUGGGGAACAACCCCGGGAAACUGGGGCUAAUUCCGCAUGCGGCCCGCGGGCCAAAGCAGCGGUGCGCCUCGGGGGCGGCCUGCGUCCGAUUAGCGUGUUGGCGGGGUAACGGCCCACCAAGGCGUCGAUCGGUAGCUGGUCUGAGAGGACGGCCAGCCACACUGGGACUGAGACACGGCCCAGACUCCUACGGGAGGCAGCAGUGGGGAAUAUUGGGCAAUGGGCGCAAGCCUGACCCAGCGAUGCCGCGUGGGUGAAGAAGGUCCUCGGAUUGUAAAGCCCUUUCGGCGGGGACGAUGGUGACGGUACCCGCAGAAGAAGCCCCGGCUAACUUCGUGCCAGCAGCCGCCGUAA